UGUGUGUGUGUGUGUGUGUGGAGCGGCCUGGUCAUCUACCACUCUCAGCAGUCCCUGGAGGAGUAGCUCAUUCAGCGCUGGGGCGGAGGAGUGGAGAUCCACACCUGGUCCUUCCUGCCCCGCAGUUCAGGACUGGUUAAGAAGAGCCAUGGGUGCCAGUGGUAUUGGCAGUCGUCUACAUGUGAACCGACAACAGACUCCAUCAUCCACGCUGUCCUCUACCUGGAGCAGAUGCUAACAACUUGUGGCGGUUGGCAGGAGAGUAAAAGGUGGCACGCGUCAAAGCCCGUCUCCCCCUACGGGUGGAAGUCUCCUUCUCUGAGGACUUUCUGCUCUCACUGCAACAGCACCUCCUGCUGGUCUAAAUUGGCAAGACACGGCUGGCACGAAACUUGCUGCAGGUUAGCCAUCCGGCCUUACAACACUUACUCAAAGCCACACUUAAGAAAGGGGUUAACUAUACCGUUCAUUGGACAGGCAAACUUUGUACUUUCCUCCAAAAAAAGGAAUGAGUGACUUUCCACUUCAAUUCAUCCAUCAUUAUGCUCUCUGACUGGGUGUGCCAGAACCUUUUUAGUGCAUUAGUAGUUUAGAGUUAAAAGCAUAGUUUUAGGAUUUAAUGAGGUUCUGAGGUUCCUUUACUAUAUUUAUAGCCAGCAUCCACACUUCCUUCCUGUUUCUACAGUAAUAUUUCUGACCGCUUCCUGUUUACAGUGUACAGUUGUGGUUGUUCCUCUCAGUGCUGCAGGCAUUUUAUUUCACAUGUACAAUGUAUUGACCAUUUACUAGCACAAACGUUUCAAAACUUGUCUCGUCUUAAAAUGGCUUCCAUGUUGUUGGUUUCUUUGACCAUCCGCAAGUUUUGACGCUUAACCUGCCACCCUAUUCUUCAUUUCUAAACCCAAUAGAAUAAUUAUUUUCAGCAUGGCGUGGAAUAUAUACGAUCGCCAACCCCACCAACGCAUACCUCUUCUCCAGGCGAUGGAGGAGGCCUGUGGUGACAUAGACGAGGGGGCAUGCCAGGGCUAGAUACGCAACUUCAGACACUAUUGACCCCGCUGUUUAGCCAGAGAGAACAUCGCUUGUGAUGUUGAUGAGGUGCUGUGGCUCGACCCGAAUAGGAGACAGGAUGCACCCUAAUUGUUUUUUUCUUUAUAGUAACAAGCCAAUUUGUUUUGUCAGUUACUGUUCAUCCCAAAAUCUGGAUGAAAAUACAAUGUUUUG